GAACCACCAUAAAGCUAUCUUUAGGGAUAUUAGGGCCACACCCUGCAUGAAGACCUGAAUAGACCUAACCGUAUAGUGAAGGGCAACAACAACAUGGCUAGGAUUUAGCCCUCAAUGACCACAAUGUUGAAGAUUUAUGGUCAUGUGCGUAUUGAUGCGGGAUAAGUGCCCAACUUCUUCAUCUAUUUCAUUUUUGUUGUUGAAAUUGUUCACUCUUAAAGUACUCACUUUGCUUCUUCAUCUUUGGCAGUUUGAUGACAUUAUCAAUGUUAAGAGCAUUUGUUAAUGGUUGCUGAAUAAAAAGGGCUAGGUGCACCGAAGAAUUGUAAGCAUAAUAAGAAUGCUCUAUUCUUUGUAUCUGACCCAACCAAGAUGAAGAAAUGCAAGGACAUGUGACGCAUGGAAGUGGGUGACUCAAAAGCUCGAAGUAUAAGCAUCAACGUUAACAUGCAUAUGAACAUUGUGAUGCUUAUCUUUAGAAACAAUGCUUUUUAUUUUAAAAUAGUUACCUUAAUUAGUGCUAGUAGAUUGUGUGUUGGUGGAUUAUUAGUGAUCCAUUGAUGACAAAACUGUUGGUUUCUGAAUCUAUGCAAAUGUCCCACGACCAAGGAUGUCUUGGACAAUAUGCCUCAUGUUUCUAUCAAAUAUCCUAAGUAUCAAGCCUCUUUGGGUUUUCCCAUAUCAGGCAGCACGACAAAGCCAUUGGCAUGUAUAGAACUUUGUUGGUAAUGUGUAAUGUAAUAAAAGUUGUAUAACCUAUGUGGUAUCAACUAUGUGGUUAACCUAUGUGGUAUCAACUAUGUGGUUACCUGAUUUUGGUCCCAAUAAUAUCCUGGCCACAAACUAGCAUCUUGACAAAACUAUACACUUGGAAUUUAUUUUAACCACUGGACGUGUGAAUUACUAACGCAAUGGUAGUAUGGAUGUUGUAAUUAACUCAAAUUAAGAGAUAUGGUUGAUUUUUUUUGUACUAGCCACUGAUAGCUAACAAUUCUCACAAAUCAAUGAAGGAUGUUCUAUUUUGUUUUGAGUUUCACACAAAAGAUAAAAGAAAUAGGUA
rnacentral:lncRNA from 1 species